GACGAACGCUGGCGGCGUGCUUAACACAUGCAAGUCGAACGGAAAGGCCCUGCUUUUGUGGGGUGCUCGAGUGGCGAACGGGUGAGUAACACGUGAGUAACCUGCCCUUGACUUUGGGAUAACUUCAGGAAACUGGGGCUAAUACCGGAUAGGAGCUCCUGCUGCAUGGUGGGGGUUGGAAAGUUUCGGCGGUUGGGGAUGGACUCGCGGCUUAUCAGCUUGUUGGUGGGGUAGUGGCUUACCAAGGCUUUGACGGGUAGCCGGCCUGAGAGGGUGACCGGCCACAUUGGGACUGAGAUACGGCCCAGACUCCUACGGGAGGCAGCAGUGGGGAAUAUUGCACGAUGGGCGGAAGCCUGAUGCAGCAACGCCGCGUGCGGGAUAACGGCCUUCGGGUUGUGAACCGCUUUCGCCUGUGACGAAGCGUGAGUGACGGUAAUGGGUAAAGAAGCACCGGCUAACUACGUG
rnacentral:rRNA from 1 species